GCUUGCACCCGUUUCAUAAUGUAGAGAACGUAAUCCAAAAGUGGUCGCGUCAAAAACGGCCGCCUGCGUUCUUUUACUUUACCCUGAAGAAUUCUUAUUGCUCAUGAAAGGAUACAAAUCAAUCAUCCAUUGUGAGUUUCAGCAGGGGAUAAUAAAAAUAUGACUUUAUUCAUAUGUUUAUUGGUCUUUCCGUUUAAUUCGAAUAAAGUAAUGACGAAGAGAAAAGAAUAGGGGAGAGUGUAUUGGAUGGGGAGAGGUGAAAUUCUUUGAUCCAUUCAGGACAAACAAAAGCGAAGGCACUUUUCAGGUGCUUUUCAUUGGUCAGGGAGCGAAAGCAGAGGGAUCGAAGAUGAUUAGAAACCGUCGUAGUCUCUGCCGUAAACAAUGUCGACUUUGGUAUAGAGAAUAACAAAAUAAUUGUGAAAGAUUAUUAAGUUGUUUCUGUAUCAAUAGAG
rnacentral:rRNA from 1 species